UUUAAAAUAUAUUCGUGUGUGUGUGUGUGUGUGUGUGUGUGUGUGUGUGUGUGUGUGUGUGUACUUUCAUGAAUGUGCCCACAGAUGUUAAAUCCCUCAGAGCUGGAGUUAGCCUGGAGUUGUCAACUACAUGAGUGGUGGGAUUUAAAUUCAGGUCCUAGUUUAUGAGGUGGCACACCUGUUAUCCCAGCACUCAGGAAGCAGAGCCAGGUGGAUCUUUGUGAGUGUGAGGCCAGCCUGGUCUAUAUAGUGAGUUCCAGGACAGCCAGGGCUGCAUUGUGAUACCCUGUCUAGAAAAAACAACAGAAAAGAUUAAGAAAUAUUUUUUAUGUGUAUGGUGUUUUGCCUGCAUGUAUGACUUGUGCAUCACAUGUAUGCAUUGCCCAUGAGGUCAGAAGAGGGUGUCAGAUCUCCAGGAACUGGAGUUAGAGGUGUGAGCCACUGUGUGAGUUUUAGAAACUAAACCUGUGUGGUGAUAUCUUGCUGAUACAAAUAAAGCCUGCCUGAAGAUCAGAGGAUGGAACUUGCCACUAGCUAACCAUAGAGGUUUGGAGUUCUGUAUAGACAGACAGGAAGUGAGAUGGCUGGGUGGAAACAGGAAGUGAGAUGGCUGGGAGAAGAGAAAACAUAAGAGGGAAGAAACAGGGCAAAGGAGGUAAUUUUGGCUUUGGCUUGCUCCUUCUUCUCUCUGAUCUCCCAGCAUUUCCCUCUAUAUCUGACUCUGGGUUUUUAUUAUUUAGACCAAUUUGGAACUCCUGUUUACAUUUUGGUGCUCAACAAGGCCAGAACAUUAACAUCAGGACAGGGGCAAAUUGCCCCACAUGGACCCCUGAGAAAGCCACCAGCUCUCGUGGACUUGCUCAUUCAACAUCCCAACUGAACCAACACUCAAUCUGGGAGCUAGAGAGCUGGCUUUGUGGUUAAGAAGAACAUUUGCCUCUCAAGCAGGAACUUGGAUUUUGAUCCUACAGGAUGUUGAUGGUCAGCACCCACAUGGUGGCCCAAAAAUAUCUAUAACACCAGUUUCAGGGGAUCUGAUGUCCUCUUCUGACCUCUAUGGAUCCCAUGCACACAUGUAAUGCACACAUCUAUGCAGGCAAAACACUCAUAAAAAAUAAAUAAAACUUCUCAAUCCUAACUGGCUGCA
rnacentral:lncRNA from 1 species